CUUCUUCCUCUUCUUCUUCAUCCAGCUAACCAUCUCUCUCCCUCUCUCACGCACGUUGGGAACGACGUGACUUUUUAUCGAAGACAUGCUCGAAAUCCCCCUCUUUCUCUCCUUCAGCCGACGCCACCACCCAACAUCCCUUCCACCGUUGAACUCGACAGUGAAUCCCAGUCACCGUGCGCAAUAGCUCGCUGGAAAUCAAGUUCAUCGUGGUUUGUCUCCAUUCUUCGUUCAGAUUCAACUUCUAGAGAAAUCAAGGCCAAGGGACAUUUCAUGGCUAUGGGCUGAAGCUUUGAGAAAAAGAGGAUGAAAAAUGAAAUGUGAAAUUUUAAACUUUGAUGAUGUGUAGAGUCUUUUUUUUUUAUGUCUAUGCAUUUUCCAAGUGAAUUUGAGUACUUUUGAUUUUUCAAUUGGUCGUUUGUUUAGGGUUGCUAUUGAGUUAUAUCAUAAUUGUAUGAUAGUUAUAGCAUAAACAAACUAUAUAUAUAAACUUGAACAUAAGUACUUGUUAUCUAACUCAUUACUAAAUUGUUGUAAUUUGGUUACUCUUGUUUUACUA